ACACGACUACAUUAGAUACCCGGGUAGUCCCAGCCCUAAACGAUGCGCGUUAGGUGUAUCGGUGACCACGAGUCACCGAGGUGCCGAAGGGAAACCGUGAAACGUGCCGCCUGGGAAGUACGGUCGCAAGGCCGAAACUUAAAGGAAUUGGCGGGGGAGCACCACAACGGGUGGAGCCUGCGGUUUAAUUGGACUCAACGCCGGGAAGCUCACCGGAUAAGACAGCGGAAUGAUUGCCGGGCUGAAGACCCUGCAUGACCAGCUG
rnacentral:rRNA from 1 species